UACAGAGGUCUCAAGCGUUGUUCGGAUUCAUUGGGCGUAAAGGGUGCGUAGGUGGCGCCGUAAGUCAGGUGUGAAAUUUCGGAGCUUAACUCCGAAACUGCAUUUGAUACUGCGGUGCUUGAGGACUGGAGAGGAGACUGGAAUUCACGGUGUAGCAGUGAAAUGCGUAGAUAUCGUGAGGAAGACCAGUGGCGAAGGCGGGUCUCUGGGCCGAUACUGACACUGAGGAGCGAAAGCGUGGGGAGCGAACAGG
rnacentral:rRNA from 1 species